GCACUGGCAAAAUCCAGUGUCAGGAUUGGACCCCUGUUUGUUAACCAAAGGCGCACAGACGCCAGCUUUUGCUGGUUUUUU
rnacentral:sRNA from 1 species